CUCGUUCUUUAAAUAGGGACUUGUAUCAACGGCAUCACGAGGGUUAUACUGUCUCCUUUCUCCAAUCAGUGAACCUAAUCUCCCCGUGAAGAAGCGGGGUUAUACCUAUAAGACGAGAAGACCCCAUGGAGCUUUAAACUUAAAAGCAAGUAAAUUAAAUAUUCCCAUACAUAAUUUAAAUAUGCAUAAAAGUUUUGGGUUGGGGUGACCGCGGAGCAAAAAUUAACCUCCACAACGAAAAGAAUUAAAUCUUUAUCUAAGAACUACCAUUCUAAGAAUCAACAUAUUGACGAACACUGAUCCGAUAAUCGAUCAAUGGACCAAGUUACCCUGGGGAUAACAGCGCCAUCUACUUCGAGAGCUCAUAUCGACAAGUAGGCUUACGACCUCGAUGUUGGAUCAGGGUAUCCCAGUGGUGCAGCCGCUACUAAUGGUUCGUUUGUUCAACGAUUAAAACC
rnacentral:rRNA from 1 species